CGGCUGUAGCCAGAUCAAACAGACCAGAGAAGCUAACUGGCCGGUUGUUAUGAGAUCCUUUUUGGGUUUCCGUUAACAUAUCUGCUUACCGAGCUUCUCACAUUU